rnacentral:lncRNA from 1 species
UCUCCCUUUGGAUGGCACAUUUGGUUGAUGGCUUCUGGUGCAGGUGCAGGUGGAAGAAGAUUCAUCUUCUCUUGGAGGGACGACCAUUAGGAAGCUGACCAUGCUCCGGCAAAAUGCUGUCUAAACUGGACUAAGGAGAUACAGGGAAGUCAGCUGCUGAGCUUUGCCAAAACAAGGUUUUACAGCAGCCAGUGGUGGCAGGAAGCACUCAGAAGCAAAGACAACCUACCAAGUGCCGGCAGCCCAAGAGCCCCUCUCUACUUUGCUAUCUCUCUUUUCUUUUUCUUUUGAGACAGCAUCUCAAGUAUCCCAGGCUGACCUCACACUCUCUGUGUAGCUGAGAAUAAACCUGAAAUUCUGGUCCUCUGGCCUACCU